rnacentral:tRNA from 2 species
CCCGAGGGAGGCUAAUGGUAGGACACGGCCCUUUGGAGGCCAUUAUCUAGGUUCGAAUCCUAGCCCCGCAGCUA